UACGUAGGUCCCGAGCGUUGUCCGGAUUUAUUGGGCGUAAAGCGAGCGCAGGUGGUUUAUUAAGUCUGGUGUAAAAGGCAGUGGCUCAACCAUUGUAUGCAUUGGAAACUGGUAGACUUUAGUGCAGGAGAGGAGAGUGGAAUUCCAUGUGUAGCGGUGAAAUGCGUAGAUAUAUGGAGGAACACCGGUGGCGAAAGCGGCUCUCUGGCCUGUAACUGACACUGAGGCUCGAAAGCGUGGGGAGCAAACAGG
rnacentral:rRNA from 1 species